GAUGAACGCUGACAGAAUGCUUAACACAUGCAAGUCGAUGGGGAAGUGGUGCUUGCACCCUGGUAACCAUGGCGGACGGGUGAGUAACGCGUAAGGAACUUGCCUGCGGGACUGGGAUAACAGCAGGAAACUGCUGAUAAUACCGGAUAAGGUCAUUAAGCUGCAUAGCUUAGUGAUGAAAGGAGACGCCUGCGGAGAGCCUUGCGUCCUAUUAGCUAGUUGGAGGGGUAACGGCCCACCAAGGCGAAGAUAGGUAGCCGGCCUGAGAGGGUGGACGGCCACAAGGGGACUGAGAUACGGCCCUUACUCCUACGGGAGGCAGCAGUGGGGAAUAGUGGACAAUGGGGGUAACCCUGAUCCAGCAAUUCUGUGUGCACGAAGACGGUUUUCGGAUUGUAAAGUGCUUUCAGCAGGGAAGAAGGAAGUGACGGUACCUGCAGAAGAAGCGACGGCUAAAUACGUG
rnacentral:rRNA from 1 species